rnacentral:rRNA from 1 species
UACGAAGGGGGCUAGCGUUGCUCGGAAUCACUGGGCGUAAAGGGUGCGUAGGCGGCUUGGUUAGUCAGGUGUGAAAUCUCCACGCUCAACGUGGAGGCGCCACCUGAAACUGCCAUGGCUUGAGUCCGGUAGGGGAGUGUGGAAUUCCCGGUGUAGCGGUGAAAUGCGCAGAUAUCGGGAGGAACACCCGUAGCGAAGGCGGCACUCUGGGCCGGUACUGACGCUGAGGAGCGAAAGCGUGGGGAGCGAUCCGG